CAGCUCUUGACAUGCCCGGUAUGGGGUCGAGAUAUCGGCUCCUUCAGUUCGGCUGGCCGGAACACAGGUGCUGCAUGGCUGUCGUCAGCUCGUGUCGUGAGAUGUUGGGUUAAGUCCCGCAACGAGCGCAACCCCCACCUGUAGUUGCCAUCGAUCAAGUUGGGCACUCUGCUGAGACUGCCGGUGACAAGCCGGAGGAAGGCGGGGAUGACGUCAAGUCCUCAUGGCCCUUAUGGGCUGGGCUACACACGUGCUACAAUGGCGGUGACAGUGGGAUGCGAAGGCGCAAGCUUGGCCAAUCUCAAAAAGCCGUCUCAGUUCGGAUUGUCCUCUGCAACUCGAGGGCAUGAAGCUGGAAUCGCUAGUAAUCGCGGAUCAGCACGCCGCGGUGAAUACGUUCCC
rnacentral:rRNA from 1 species